UACCUGCAGCUCAAGUAGUGACCGCUAUUAUUGGGCCUAAAACGUUCGUAGCCGGUUUGGUAAAUGCCUGGGUAAAUAGUGUAGCUUAACUAUACGAAUUCCGGGUAGACUGCCAAACUUGAGACCGGGAGAGGCUAGAGGUACUCCUGGGGUAGAGGUGAAAUUCUGUAAUCCUGAGGGGACCACCAGUGGCGAAGGCGUCUAGCUAGAACGGGUCUGACGGUGAGGGACGAAGCCCUGGGGCGCGAACCGGAUUAGAUACCCGGGUAGUCCAGGGUGUAAACGCUGCUUGCUUGAUGUUAGUUGGGCUCCGAGCCCAAUUAGUGUCGGAGGGAAGUUGUUAAGCAAGCUGCCUGGGAAGUACGAUCGCAAGAUUGAACUUAAAGGAAUUGGCGGGGGAGCACAGCAACGGGUGGAGCGUGCGGUUU
rnacentral:rRNA from 1 species